AAACCAUGUAUCGCACGAUCAAAGCAGCAACUACUGCGGUUGACAGACCCGACAUGGAACCGCCAUUUAUCACACGUUCUCGAUCCCCACAGAGCAUACAAAAGGGAAAAUUGGAUGAUUUUCUCAAACUCAUUUUUGUCUUCCGUACAAAACACCCUCCUCCACGCCUUUUCUGUAUGAUUUCUUCAUCUGAAACUGGCAAUCCUGAAAAUAAAUGUUAGGAUUUACACAAAUUGCUAUUCAUUUUGUGGCCUUAGGUACCUUCCAUCACUCUCUCUCUCAAACAUUGCACUGAGGAAGAAUGCGCACUCAUUCUUUUAGACUAAAAACCCAGAAAUCCUAACUUUCAAGGACGAUCCGUCAAUUUCGGGUUUUGUGGAGUCGGAAAAUCGAAGACUAAGAAGCAGAGGAGGAGAUCGGUGAAGAAAAAAAGGAGAGAAAGUAAAAGGAAAAAAUGUGAGUUAUUUUUUAUUAUUCUCUUUUUCCAAAAAGCAAUUUUUGGAUAUUUUAUCAUUAUUGUUUGGUUGCUAGGAAAUUGGGUUACUGAGUAGCAAAUAAAUUUGAUUGUUUUGUGGUUUUUGAGUAGUU